rnacentral:rRNA from 1 species
UACGUAGGGUGCGAGCGUUGUCCGGAAUUACUGGGCGUAAAGAGCUCGUAGGUGGUUUGUCGCGUUGUCCGUGAAAACUCACAACUCAAUUGUGGGCGUGCGGGCGAUACGGGCAGACUGGAGUACUGCAGGGGAGACUGGAAUUCCAGGUGUAGCGGUGAAAUGCGUAGAUAUCUGGAGGAACACCGGUGGCGAAGGCGGCAUCCUGGACCGGUAUUGACACUGAAAAGCGAAAGCCAGGGGAGCAAACGGG